CUCAGAAAUAAAUAUAUUUUUAAAACAUAAGAUAAUUCCUAAAUAUGUUGUGUUUUUAUCUGAAAAUAUUUAUUUUUAUUAUAAAAUAUAAAUUUUAGUGUUUGAUUUAUCUUUUUAAAAACAUAAUUAAUAAUUUAUUAUGUUGGUUUUAAUUUAAUAGUUAUAAAUAGAUAUAUAUUUAUAAGAACACUGCGCCCGCAUAUGCGGGCAGAACACCUAGUUUAUCUUAAAAGAUAGAUGAUUCAUUCUAUCUGAUAUGAUAUAUACUUUAAAAUAGAGUCGGUUUAAUAUUACUAAACCAAAUAUAAUAAAACAUAUAUAUAAAUUGUAUUAUUACUAAAAUGAAUAUCAUAUAAAUUUAACUAUGACAUUAUUCUUAGAAUUUUUUAAUUAUUCUCAAUAUAAUGAUAAAUUAUCAUCUAAAUCACAAGAUAGUGAUAAAUUAUCAGUUAAAUCACUAAAAUUAUUUAUUAAAAUUAAUAAUUAAGUUAAAAUAUGACUUUUUUUGUCACAAACUACGUUUAAAAAUAUGACUGAAUCUUAAAUUAUGGAGAGCAUGACAAAUCAGAAAAUUUACUUCUCAAAUAAUAUUAUAGAUAUUUUUAAUUUAAUACUAGUCAGCAUAUGACAAAAAGAAUCUGAAUUUUACCCCCAAAAAUAUAUUUUUAUUCUAAGUGGAUGUUAAAAUUUCAUUAAUCAUGAACUUUGACUCAACACUAGCUAUACAUAAACGCGUCCAAUAAACAAAGGAGCCGCAUGACAUUCCACGUGGUUUAAAUAACAGAGCCGGUUUAAAGUUAAACCAAAAAGAACUGUCUAUUUUUUUUCUCUGCUUUUAAAAACAAACAGAGGAAAGAUCAAGAAAACCUUCUUCCAACGAUGUCUUCCACCAUCUUCUCCAGCAAGAAACCACAAGAAUGGUCAGAAACCAUAAGAGAGAAGUGAUUUCCUCUCCUCCAUCAAGCAUCUUCAUCUUCUCUCCUCAAGGAAACCAUUGAUGGUUUGGUUCAAGAGAUCAUUUCUCACUUCAACACUUUGGAAGAUUGAACCAUAGAAGAUCUCCUCUCAGCUUCUGAAUGCAAAUCAAUGGAUACAGUGUUUCUACUCAUAAGUGAUAUACACCCAUUCCUACUCACCAAUCUACUUAGAAUCUUCAUCCAUCUAGCCCAACCAAAGAGUGAAGAAGAUGAAGAACAUGUUUCCAUCAACAUGCCUGAAGAUCAUCAGCUAGCAUGGAGGAAAUAAUCAGCUGAGUUAUUGCAACGAAUUGAACAGGUAGAGAGAAGGGUAAGGAUGAUGGGUGAUGAUAUAGUUGCACGUUUGAGACUUGUGCAAAGAAUCUUAGUGACACAACUACAAGCAGACACCAUGUACAUCAACGAAGAAGGAGCUUGAGGAUGACAAAUUGAAGGAGGAAAUUGAAAGAAUCUUCAAGGAUGCAAAGCUACUAAGAAGCAGUGUUCUCAUGAGCAUCAUUGAAGCUACGAAUGAUCACCAAGGAGUCUUGUUUCUACAAUGCUUAUGUCACAUGCUUGAGCAUUCAAAAACAAGAUAAUGGAGGUCUAACUGGAAAUACCUGGAGCCAAUCAGAAUCCAUGCAAGCUUGAAGAGAAGUGAGACCCAUUUUGCGUUUGUUUUGUUUGAGGAGAGUGAGAACUUUAAGACAAGUUUAUGAAAAAAAUCUAGAGAGAGAAGAGAGAGAGAGAGAGAGAGGAGAUGAGGCAUGGAAGAGUUUGGGGGUUGGGAUGUGAAUAAGAAGGAAGCAAGAAGAGGACCAUUCUUCGCCUCGGGAUUGCUGUCUCCACUCAACAAACCACUUCUACUAUACAACUUAGUUAAGUUAGUUCACACUUACAAUUAUUUUUUACUUUUUUUUUAAACUGUUGUCUUAACAUCGGAAAAUAUAGUAUUUCAAUUUAACAAAUGAUUAGUAAACUUUUCUCA